UGUAGCCCCACUGGAGACAGACACUGGGGAUGGAACUUCACCUGGUCAGAGCAUCCGGGAACAAACAGGCAGCCUCCAACAACAUGGGUGGUAGCUGGAUUGGCCAACCUGCCAGCUUUUCCUCAUUGACACGACCAGGACAAGGUCUCCAGCCCUGCCCUGGCCAGCUCACCCCCUGUAGCAAGGAACAGGGCCAGUUCAGCUCUCCUGCACUUGGGACUGGCUUACCCGCACACACACACUGGGGCAGCUCUGCUGCCUGCUGCAGGUGACAAGGGCUGAGGUGUGGGAGGCAUCUUUCCCUCAUUCAUGCCACUACAUGGCAGAUGGGGGGAGUCAGCCCUCCUGCUCUGCACCCCCAAGAGGAUCAGCCCUAUUGUGUUACCUAGGUGAGGUGCAGAGCCCAUUCCCUGGAGUGCUGCAGCUGAUGAGGGGCAAGGCCUGCUCUCCCACUUCCAUGGCCUCAGGACCAGCUCUCCCACCCACUACAAGUGGUGAGGGGUGGCGGAUGGGGAGGGCAGCUCUCUCUUGCUCACUCCACCAUACGGCAGAUGAGGAGUGAUGUCCAACCUUUGGCCAUUGUGACAUGAUGCUGUCAUCUCUGUAGUUCACACUGAAGAACUUUGCAAUUGAGCUAUUUUUUAAAAAAUCACAUAGGGGCUGGCUAGAUGACUCAGUGGAUAAAGAAAUACCCAGUCUGACAACCUUGGUUGGAUCCCCAGACCCCCCAUGUUGGAAGGAGAGAACUGACUUGUACAAGUUGCACUCUAACAUGUGCAAGGGCACAUACAUGCCCUCCCUUUACAAAUAAAUGUUUUUAAAACUUGCCAAGCAAAGAAAACCUCAUAAUAUUCUGAAUAAGUUACAA